GCCCCUGUCACCACCACAGCGGUGGUCACCUGCUGCUCCAGGAAGCUGCUGAAGAGGGCAGCAGCCAGCACUCGGUAGACAACCAGCAAAUGAGCCAUGCCAAUCAUCAAACAAAUCUGCAGAGGAUUAGGGUUGGACAUGAAGGGAAGGGAUAGCCAGGUCUCUAGCCCUUACCACAGCUCCCGGAAGUACCAUGAACAGGGACAGGAUCAGGAUGAUAGUGCUGCUCAGAUAGGAAUGAUGGUGCUUUUUCAGCUCAUAAUGCGGAGAGUUGAUGAGCUCCAGGGCCAUCUCUUCCUAGGGAGGUCACCAGACACGCCUCAGACACAAGGAUACAGAUCUCCAGGAAGACCGUAGCUGCAGUGAGAACAGAGAAACAUCACGGAAUACCUGGGGUGAGCCAGGGUGGCUGAAGAGCGAGUCCUAGAGGCCUCUGGGGAUGCCCAGCAGCAACUCACCCCACAGAGCCAUAAAGAUGGCAAAUAUCACAGUG